UACGUAGGGGGCAAGCGUUGUCCGGAAUCAUUGGGCGUAAAGAGCGUGUAGGCGGCCAGAUAAGUCCGCUGUGAAAACUCGAGGCUCAACUUCGAGCUGUCGGUGGAAACUAUUUGGCUAGAGUCCGGAAGAGGAGAGUGGAAUUCCUGGUGUAGCGGUGGAAUGCGCAGAUAUCAGGAGGAACACCAAUAGCGAAGGCAGCUCGCUGGGACGGUAUUGACGCUGAGGCGCGAAAGCGUGGGGAGCAAACAGG
rnacentral:rRNA from 1 species